CCGGGUCAGCGUCCGUGGGCCUGUGCCCACCCGGACAUGCGUCGCUGGUAACGGCGGGGUGUGAUGCUCCGGCGAAAAGCCGUGGCUAGCAGGCCUUCCACGAGGAGAUCCUGUCGUUGGCUGUCGAUCCGACGUUGGGG
rfam:Streptomyces decoyicus strain NRRL 2666 P029contig4.1, whole genome shotgun sequence.